rnacentral:sRNA from 1 species
AGACCUGCCACUGGCCCAGUCGCCCCCUGGGGCCCUUUGCCACUCCCUCGGGAAGAAGAGCCGAGACCUUAGUUCCCGGCAGCCCUUGCGGGACACAGGUGAGUCCUGGCUGCGCGCGCGGCCCCUCCUCCCCGGCGCCUCCCAGCCAGGACCCCAGCCCCUAUGAUGAAAGCGAAGUGCACGACUCCUUCCAGCAGCUCAUCCAGGAGCAGAGCCGGUGUGCGGCCCAGGAGGGGCUGGAGCUGCAGCAGAGAGAGCGGGAGGCCACAGGAAGUGGCCAGCAGACACUCUGGCGCCCCGAGGGCACCCAGAGCACAGCCACACUCCGCAUCCUGGCCAGCAUGCCCAGCCGCACCAUUGGUGAGUGGGACCCUGGGCCUCGGCCCCGAGUUGACCCCAGUCCCUGGGGCUGGGCUGGGCUUCCCGCCGGGCAUCUCCCUGGGUAGUGGCUGCUCCCAUAGCUCAGAGCCAGGCCCAGGGCGGGCUCCUGGCCCAUCCCGUCUGCUGCCUGGAGGCCCAGCACAGCCCCAUGUGGCCCUCGCUGGGCUCUAAAAAUGACU